rnacentral:rRNA from 1 species
UGGAUCCAGACUUUGAUCAUGGCUCAGGACGAACGCUGGCGGCGUGCCUAACACAUGCAGGUCGGACGGAGCUCCGCCCUUCGGGACGGAACUUAGUGGCGAACGGGUGAGUAACGCGUGAAGAACCUGCCUUUCAGUGGGGGACAACAGUCGGAAACGACCACUAAUACCGCAUGAUGUUCUUUGGGGGCAUCUCUAAGGAACCAAAGCUUAAUGUGCUGAAAGAUGGCUUCGCGUCUGAUUAGCUAGUUGGCGGGGUAACGGCCCACCAAGGCGACGAUCAGUAGCCGGUCUGAGAGGAUGAACGGCCACAUUGGGACUGAGAUACGGCCCAGACUCCUACGGGAGGCAGCAGUGGGGAAUAUUGGGCAAUGGGGGAAACCCUGACCCAGCAACGCCGCGUGAAGGAAGAAGGCCUUCGGGUUGUAAACUUCUUUUACCAGGGACGAAGGACGUGACGGUACCUGGAGAAAAAGCAACGGCUAACUACGUGCCAGCAGCCGCGGUAAUACGUAGGUUGCAAGCGUUGUCCGGAUUUACUGGGUGUAAAGGGCGUGUAGGCGGAGGCGCAAGUUGGGAGUGAAAUCUAUGGGCUCAACCCAUAAACUGCUCUCAAAACUGUGCCCCUUGAGUAUCGGAGAGGCAAGCGGAAUUCCUAGUGUAGCGGUGAAAUGCGUAGAUAUUAGGAGGAACACCAGUGGCGAAGGCGGCUUGCUGGACGACAACUGACGCUGAGGCGCGAAAGCGUGGGGAGCAAACAGGAUUAGAUACCCUGGUAGUCCACGCUGUAAACGAUGAAUACUAGGUGUGGGAGGACUGACCCCUUCCGUGCCGCAGUUAACACAAUAAGUAUUCCACCUGGGGAGUACGGCCGCAAGGUUGCAACUCAAAUGAAUUGACGGA